UCUCCUAGAACUGAGACACCCAUCUUCUGCUGCCUUUGGACGUCGGAGCUCCAGGUUCUCUCUCCUAGAACUGAGACGCCCAUCUUCUGCUGCCUUUGGACGUCGGAGCUCCAGGUUCUCUCUCCUAGAACUGAGACGCCCAUCUUCUGCUGCCUUUGGACGUCGGAGCUCCAGGUUCUCUCUCCUAGAACUGAGACGCCCAUCUUCUGCUGCCUUUGGACGUCGGAGCUCCAGGUUCUCUCUCCUAGAACUGAGACGCCCAUCUUCUGCUGCCUUUGGACGUCGGAGCUCCAGGUUCUCUCUCCUAGAACUGAGACGCCCAUCUUCUGCUGCCUUUGGACGUCGGAGCUCCAGGUUCUCUCUCCUAGAACUGAGACGCCCAUCUUCUGCUGCCUUUGGACAUCGGAGCUCCAGGUUCUGGGGCCUUUGUACUCGAGAAUGUGCACCAGCAGCCCCUACCCCAGGUUCUCAGGCCUUUGGCCCGAAACUUCAAGUUACACCACUGGCUUCUCUGGUUCUGAGGUUUUGGACUUGGACUGAGCCAUGCUGCCAGCAUCCGUGGGUCUCCAGCCUGCAGAUGGCCUGUCGUGGGACAUCACUGCCUUCAUAAUCAUCUCCCCACUGAAGCAUGGUCUUGUGCACCAUGAGCAGAUCUGAAGUUUAAGAAGAUGACUCUAGAUUUUCCAUGGAGAAUAUUGGGAGUGAGAGUGGCUAUGGGAAGACCCACGGGAGGCUGUUGAGUUGCCCAGAUUCAAACUCCUGGGGUGAAGGGAGGCUGAUUGCAGAAGUCCCGUUCUUGACAUCCUGGCUUGCAGUCUUACAAGACUCAAGACAGAGGGUGAGGUACACCUUUCACCUUUCAGAAGGACAUUAGGAUGCCAUUACUGAAAGUAAGGUGAAGGGGUUCUGAGUCACCAAGCCACUAGGAAGUCCACCAUAGUUAGUGGGCCAGAUACCAUGUUAAUGCUAAGAUAAUAAAGUCAUGCCCACUGAAGCCCAGUGACAGGCCACCAUUUAGUGUUAAGGAGUAGACAUGUAAAUAACUUACCACCAAACAUGGAAGAAGAGAAAGCAUUAUGGGAGAGGGCAGGUGAAGAAGGAGCUCCAAGGGAGAUUGGAGGAGAGACAGCGGUUUCUGUGCAACGUGCCCAGCUAAGCUUAGGAUGAUGUUGUGGUGAUGUUGUAGAAGGAACGUGAAGUGUAUCUGACAACCCUGGACACAUGGCUUAGGCCAGGGGUGGAUUUAGGUCAGCCACCAGUUUGACAUAAGGAGAACUCCACAUCCGUGUUGAAGUUAUAAUAUCUGUUUUUUGUUGAUUUUGAUUUGAAGACACUCCACUACCCAUUCCUUCACACUCCUGUAUCUCAGAAAAGUGUUUUUCAAAGUAUGUAUAUAAUUGCACUCAUACACAUGAACAUAUCUGUUGGAAACCCUGGCCUAAAUUGACUUUCUAUCCACCACCAAAAGAACUUAGCAUCCUCUUCUUGAGUUUUCAUUGCAUCUUACCCUCUAACGCUGUACCUGCUAUGUUAAAAUUAUCUUUUGCAGAUAAUGUCUUGUCCAUCUUGGCAUCCCCUGUGCCUGGCAUAGUACAUGAUACCAAGUAGGUAUGUGACAGAUGUUGAGUGAAUAUACACAGUUGAGCAUACGCAUCUCUAAUCUUAGCCUUGUUACUGCUGGUGAUAAACAUUUGCAAUUAGGCAUUUUAACUAGUUUAGCAUCUAUGCUGUUCUUAUGUAACUACUUUUGGUGGAUUUGCCUGUUGCUUUCUGUUGUUGCCUCAAAAACGAAGUGGUGCACAUUUCAGCCUUCAUUGAAAUUUCAGUCCUGGAAUCAUAAACGUAGCUCUGUGCUCACCAAAAUCUGUUCCUUUAUCUUUCUGGGCACACAGCUAGACUACAUUUCCCAGCCUCCUUUGCGGUGAGGUGUGGCCAAGUGACUGGGUGUUAGCCAGUGGAAAGGAAAAGGAAGUGAAGUGCCCCACUUCUCUGACUGGUCCUUUAAAAGUCUACCCUUAGAUCAUUUUUCCUUACCUGCAGGCUCAAUAGAGAGGGUGCCAAGGCUCUAGCUACUAAUAGCCACUAAUCCUGUGUGGCUAUUUAAAUUUGAAUGAAUUUAAAUCAAAUAAAAAUGGGAGACAAAGAAAUAUCGCAGUCCCAUGUCCUUAUGAUUUCUUCCCUUUACCAACACAAUGAAAUAAAAAUAAAACGUGAAAUUGAAGUUAGAUGAGACCCAAAAUACAUACAGAGACAAGAGGGAGUGAGAGACCUCAGCUUCCUGUCUGACUUACAACCUGUCGUCCUUCACUUAUUCAUCUGUUUAUCUUUCUCCUGCAAGUCUCCCAUACCAUCAUGGGGCAACUUUUGGAUGACAGAUAACUGGGCUUCAAUCUUGCCUUUGGCAUUUCCUUGCUAUGCGAUUAUUGUGUUUUUAUUUAAUGUUUCCAGGCUCCAGUUCCUUCCUCCUAAAGUUGCAGCCGAUGCUUCUCACUUCAGCAAUCAGUUUGACAAAAAUAACAUAUACCAGUGGAAUGGUUAUGGUUUCUUUUAAAUCUGUUUCUCCAUGUUUAUUACAUACAGAUAUCCAGUUGUUCUACCACUGUUUGUUGAAAGCGAUUUUCUCCCACCAUUCAUGGCAAGGUAACUUCUGCUCUGUUGAGCCAUUGGCAAGGUAAAUGGAUAUUGGGAGAAAUAGUCUUCAACUGAUCUUUUUCCAAGAGAUCAAUUGAAGACUAUUGAUCAAAUUGAUCAAAUAAUCUAUUUUAUCAACUAAUCUUUCCCAAGAUCAAUUGAAUAUAUAUAUU